GCUUGUGUGGCGAAAUUGGUAAACGCAGGAGCUUGCCUAAAUACCUGACAACAACUGUUGCGUGUUUAACAAGCUCCUGAGCUAUUGCUUUUGCGGGUUCGAGUCCCGUCACAAGUACCA
rnacentral:tRNA from 1 species